AUCAAAGGUGAGCCAGUACAGGAUGGACCCGCGUCUGAUUAGCUAGUUGGUAAGGUAACGGCUUACCAAGGCGACGAUCAGUAGCCGACCUGAGAGGGUGAUCGGCCACAUUGGAACUGAGACACGGUCCAAACUCCUACGGGAGGCAGCAGUGGGGAAUAUUGCACAAUGGGCGAAAGCCUGAUGCAGCAACGCCGCGUGAGUGAUGAAGGCCUUCGGGUCGUAAAACUCUGUCCUCAAGGAAGAUAAUGACGGUACUGGAGGAGGAAGCCCCGGCUAACUACGUGCCAGCAGCCGCGGUAAUACGUAGGGGGCUAGCGUUAUCCGGAUUUACUGGGCGUAAAGGGUGCGUAGGCGGUCUUUCAAGUCAGGAGUGAAAGGCUACGGCUCAACCGUAGUAAGCUCUUGAAACUGGGAGACUUGAGUGCAGGAGAGGAGAGUGGAAUUCCUAGUGUAGCGGUGAAAUGCGUAGAUAUUAGGAGGAACACCAGUUGCGAAGGCGGCUCUCUGGACUGUAACUGACGCUGAGGCACGAAAGCGUGGGGAGCAAACAGGAUUAGAUACCCUGGUAGUCCACGCUGUAAACGAUGAGUACUAGGUGUCGGGGGUUACCCCC
rnacentral:rRNA from 1 species